rnacentral:rRNA from 1 species
CCAUGGAAGCUGUGAGCGCCCGAAGUCCGUGCCGGAACCUGUGCAAACAGGGCCAAGCGGCCGAAGGCGAGCGCAGUGACUGGGCG